rnacentral:lncRNA from 1 species
UUCGGGAGACAACUCUUACACUAAAAAGUUUUCGAUUGAACAGAGUGAUUGAGUUUCAAUAUAGAAUACGAUAUGAAUAUAAGGAGAUAUGGAAUAUACAACAUAGACACUGCAAAUAAGAAUAUACGUAGGUGAGGAUUAGGUUCCAACGAUACAUGGAAAAUUAUUUUGCCCUUAACACCUUUUUUUUCAUAUUAGACUUCAAUAGAUUAUAAAAGUUCAUAUACCAAAUUUUAAGCAGAUUCUAGCUUUCUCUUCUUUUGAUUUAUGACCCAAUUAAUACCAAUUCAAAUAUAAGGUAAAAUUCCCAAGUAAGCCUUUU